AAGGCUAUUUCAGAGAACUACCUCUACUCCAUGCGUGAGACAUGCCUGAUGGUGACUGAGCUGCUCUCAGAGCUCCUCUCUGGCCCAGGGUCAACAGACUUCUCCUGUGAAGCCCCAUCAUGUGUUGAUGAGGAAGUGAAGCAAGGAGAAGAGAAAUUUAUAGAGUGUCUUCAUGAACAGGCUUAGAACUCAUGCUUUGUGGCAUUUUCUCCCCACUGAAGAGCCGGCCUGCCUGGUUCAUGCCCCAUCCUACUGUUCCUGGCUCUGUGACCUCAGGCUGCUGCAGUUUCUGACUCUGGGUGAUCUAGGAAGCCACACUUCUCAGCUUGAAGGAUGCACCUCAACACAGUUGGCCAGGGCUGCAUGGAUUCCCAAG